rnacentral:lncRNA from 1 species
GUCCUGUAGGUAAAAUGCUGGUUAUUUUGACAUUUAACUCAAGAGGCACAUGCUGCUUGUUAAUGCAAGUUUCUCCUAUCACUACCCAACCCAGUUUCAAUUGUUGUGCAUAUGGAGUUCUGGAUGGUCCUUUGCGCUGGUCAAGCACAUGGUGUGCUUCUAUAAGGUCUCUGCCAAUUAAGAGAAGAAUUUGGCAAUUUUCAUCUAUUGGUGGAAUGCUACCCUUAAGUUCUUUUAAAUGAGGGUGAUGCAUUGUUACUUCAGGAGUAGGUAUUUCGUCCCUAUUAUUGGGAAUAUGAUCACAUUCAAUCAGUA